rnacentral:rRNA from 1 species
UGGGGAAUCUUGCNCAAUGGAGGAAACUUUGAUGCAGCGAUGCCGCGUGAGUGAAGAAGGCCUUUGGGUUGUAAAGUUCUUUCGUCGGGGAAGAAAAUGACUGUACCNGAAUAAGAAGGUCCGGCUAACUUCGUGCCAGCAGCCGCGGUAAUACGAAGGGACCUAGCGUAGUUNGGAAUUANUGGGNUUAAAGAGUUNGUAGGUGGUUAAAAAAGUUGGUGGUGAAAUCCCAGAGCUUAACUNUGGAACUGCCAUCAAAACUUUUUAGCUAGAGUNUGAUAGAGGAAAGCAGAAUUUCUAGUGUAGAGGUGAAAUUCGUAGAUAUUAGAAAGAAUACCAAUUGNGAAGGCAGCUUUCUGGAUCAUUACUGACACUGAGGAACGAAAGCAUGGGUAGCGAANAGGAUUAGAUACCCUGGUAGUCCAUGCCGUAAACGAUGUGUGUUAGACGUUGGAAAUUUAUUUUCAGUGUCGCAGCGAAAGCGAUAAACACUCCGCCUG